rnacentral:tRNA from 1 species
ACUAGCUUAGUAUAUAUGUGUGGUAGUACGUGGGGUUGUAGUUUCUAAGGAGGGUUGUGUUGCUCAGCUGGAG